rnacentral:lncRNA from 1 species
GAUGGCUUGAGCCCAGGACUCUGAGACAAGCCUGAGCAACUUAAGGAGACACUGUCUCUACAAAAAAUUCAAAAAAUUAGCCGGCUGUGGUGGCACAUGCCUAUGGUCCCAGCUACUCAGGACGCUGAGGUGGGAGGACUGCUUGAGCCUAGGAGGUCAAGCCUGCAAUGAACUAUGAUUGUGCCACUGUACUCCAGCCUGAGCAAGACAGCAAGACCCUGUCUCAAUGGGUGUGUAUCUCGUCCCCUCUACAUAUGAUCAGCUGCUCUGCAGCAGCCAUCACCUCAUCUCCAUGAGCAGACCUCAUCUACUGGACAAACGCCAUCAGCCCAAACGGCUCCAGCACACUGUAUGUUAAUGACCAACUGGUGUCAGUAAAGGUACGUAAUGUAUUUAUUAUGUAAUUCUGAAUUAUGUAACCUAUGUAAUAUGUACUAUAAUGUAUGUUUACAGCCAACUUAAUGUCCUACCUUCUGGUUUUUUUCCAGGCCCAAGAGCUUAUCCAGAAGGCUUCAUUUUAGUUUGUAUAGUUGCAGCUAAUUUUUCAUUGUCUGUCUUUUCCUUGACAUCAUUUUGACUUUUGUUCUUCCUGGGCCCUGAUUAUCUGUACUAGCUCUGCUUGAUCACCAUUCAUACUUUAAUUAGUGGCUUCCAACUCUUAUCUUCUAGGUCAUGGAUUAAAAAUAUUCUCUGCCAGAAGCCGCUCAGUUGCUGGUAAGGAGUAACACACGCUGCAGAGCCAUGCUAUGAAGCGUCAUCUCCCGCUCAGCAGGGCUGCUCAACCGCGACACUACUGACAUUCCAGGCUGAACAAUUCUUUGUUGUGGGGCUGCCCUGUGCUUCUAAGAUGUUUACCAGCAUCCCUAGUCUCUACCCACCAGAUGCCAGUAACAACUCCCUCCCGCAGUUGUGACAAAAAUGUACCCAAACACUGACAAAUGUCCCCUGGGCGGGGAGCAAAAUCAACCCCAGCUGAGAAUCACUGAUGUACAAUCAAGUGAUGUGUUAGAUUUUCUAGUAAAUACAAACUAGCCAGUCCAAAAUGCCAGUCAGAACCCAGGAGAUGUUAAUGCCAGCCGGGCUUCCUACCACAUGAGACUCAC